rnacentral:rRNA from 1 species
ACGAACGCUGGCGGCGUGCUUCACACAUGCAAGUCGAACGGAAAGGCCCUGCUUUUGUGGGGUGCUCGAGUGGCGAACGGGUGAGUAACACGUGAGUAACCUGCCCUUGACUUUGGGAUAACUUCAGGAAACUGGGGCUAAUACCGGAUAGGAGCUCCUGCUGCAUGGUGGGGGUUGGAAAGUUUCGGCGGUUGGGGAUGGACUCGCGGCUUAUCAGCUUGUUGGUGGGGUAGUGGCUUACCAAGGCUUUGACGGGUAGCCGGCCUGAGAGGGUGACCGGCCACAUUGGGACUGAGAUACGGCCCAGACUCCUACGGGAGGCAGCAGUGGGGAAUAUUGCACAAUGGGCGGAAGCCUGAUGCAGCAACGCCGCGUGCGGGAUGACGGCCUUCGUGUUGUAAACCGCUUUCGCCUGUGACGAAGCGUGAGUGACGGUAAUGGGUAAAGAAGCACCGGCUAACUACGUG